rnacentral:lncRNA from 1 species
UACGUUAGUACAAAGUACUUCUGUUGUGAAGCUGACUUUUGCUAACGGCAAGCAGCGCAGCUGUUUACUUCACAAUGACGAAGCCACAAAUUUUGUGACCAAGCACACUCGUGUAUGGUAACUCUAAUUCGAGUCACAAGACUAAGCAUUAUAAUCAACCGCCUCCAGCACGAGGCUUCGGCUCUGGUUGUGAGAGCGGACGGGUUGCUCAUCCCCUUUAGGGGAUGAGCCAGAACGCACGCUAAGAAUAUGUCAGAACUAUAGUUAAACGCGUAGCUCUGACGUAGCGUUUUAUAACAUUCUCCGACCUUUGCUCCCUGGUUGUAAAUAGCCCGUUGGCCAUCCCCUUCGGGGAAAGAAGUUAAGCCUAGCUUAAGCUCUUUCCCCGAAGGGGGACAGCUUAGCGCUAAGGUAGUCCUAGUAAGAGACCUCUGGUCACAAUCAGAGGGAAGUAUUAAGCUCCUAAAACGCACAGGUCGUGGCUCGUUGGUCCCCUUCGGGGAAAAGUAACACGUGGCUGCUUUUCAGCUUUUAUGCUAUAAGUAUUGGAGUUUAUCUAGACUACAGCUAGGCUUUAGUCAGUGGUCUACUAAAUUAGGGUCGUAGUCAUCCCCUUCGGGGAAAAGAGCUACUCGUUAAACUCUAUUCCCAAAGAGGGGGGGGCGGAAACUAACAAAAUUAAACUACAUUCCAAUAGACAAUUUUUUGUUGUAAUAGCCAGUUAAAUGGUACAUAGCAUGUGCUGUACUGUGUAUAUUUUUAUAAAACUAUGAAAUUAGCUGUUUACGGAAAAGNGUGGUAUUGGAAAAUCAACAACAAGUUGCAAUAUUUCUAUUGCAUUAGCAAAACGGGAAAAAAGGUGU